rnacentral:ncRNA from 1 species
UUGUAUCAAGGGUGCACUCUACAUGAACAUCGAAAGAGAAUUGGGUUAAUAUUCCCGAACCGGGACAUGGUGGUGGACGACAAUGUUAGGAAAUUUGGAGAUGUCAUCGGGGGCCUGGGAAGAGUUAUCUUUUAUUUUUAACGACUUUCUCACCCUGAAAUCGGUUCAGCCAGAGAUAGGGUCCAACAUCUAUAAGUGAACCACAUAUCUUGCGAUGUUUGGUGCCCCAUUGAUGACCAUUGAAAAUAUGGAGAACUGAGUACCAUCCAUGCCCGAUCGUACUCACAUUUACCUCCUUGGAUUUUUCAAUGCCC